UUGGCGGAGAGACGGUAAAGAUCGGAAGUAGUUUGUGCAUGCUAAUGAAGGAGUUGGGGUUGUGGAUAUUUACGUUCAGCGGGAGCCGCCCUUCAUUCACCACAUGGUUAAAAGCUGAGCACGUUCGCGCCACUUUCGCAAUGUUACUACGGUUUAGUAACGCUACCCACAGCGUGCUCGGAUGCGGCGCGCGCUGAUGGUGUAUUUCUACCGCUGGCGCUAGAAGUUCACCGUUUAGUUUCGACGAUUUGCCCGGAGCGUUGACAGUAAGCGAAAAACCAUCACCACCUCCAGUCACCUUAUCCCAGGGUCCACAUUAGUGGCAUGAAACGCUUUGGUCCACUGCUAACGCCAUCCCAAAGAUGGAUCUGCGCUUGUCAACUGCAUGUCGGCGUAGUGUCAAAGUGCUUACAGUGCAGGUAGUUCUGUAAAAUCUACUGCAGUGGAGGCACUUCAAGCUCUACUUUGACAUGAACGCACACGAGCGGCGACGUGAACUACUGCUUAUGCUAAGGUGCAUUUAGUGCAGAUAGUGAAAUAGACUAGCACCUACUGCCCUAAGUGCCCCUUCUGGCAUAAGGGGCUGGCAAACCCCGCUGUUCCCCAUUGGCUGUCCCCUAUUCUUUGAUUUCAUUGCAGUUCUCUGCUAGUUUUGCAUAGUUGCACUACAAGAAAUAUUGAGUUGUGCAAAUCUAUGCAAAACUGAUGGUGGCCUGCGUCCCCAUCCUUUCCUGUGCUUUUGACUUCGAGCGGCUCUGCUUUAGCGUGCAUUCUUUUCAGGUUAACCCCUGUUUGUCGCGGCUCUGCGCUGUGAAACUCUCACUCUGGUUCCAGCAGUAUUAAAGUGCUUAUAGUGCAGGUAGUUUAUUAAAAUGCAUAUCUACUGCAAUGUGAGCACUUCAAGUACUUCUAGAUGCGAGCGUCGCGGAGAGAGAGAGAGAGAACAUCACGCUUUCUUGUGCACACUGUCCUGGUUCGUUUUGCUGGUUUGCAGUCAGCGUUCGUAUCGUUGCUGUGCAAAUCCAUGCAAAACUGAUCAUAACAGUGAGGAAUCUCCGCUUCCCGUCACUUUCCAGCAUCCCUUUCUUUGCAGGUUGGGAUCAGCCGCAAUGCUCUGCGCUGGAAGUAUUGCACUUGUCCCGGCCUGUGAAGAGCAUGGGAAAUUGUUCAGCUGCUUUUGUGUUUUAAUAAAUUUGGACAUGUUUUUUUUUUUCCUGAUUUGGGUUUGUUGGAAUUUGAUCAUCUCAAUAAAAGUUUUAAAUGCA